GGAGCUUGACUUAAUUACAUUUCUCUGUUGAGAUCAGAAAUUUGUCUCUGCUUGUUUUGUUUGUUUGUUUUUCUCAAUUUUAACAUGCCUUACAUUGUCACUUCCAGAAAAGCAUUUUGCACACGUCAAACUGACAGCAAGAGGAAGAAUUUGUGCCACAUAAUACUGCUUCAAAAUAUUAGCUGGAUGUCUUUAUCCUCCAUUCUGGCUUUGCAAUUAGUGUCAAAUCUGCGAAUUAUUUCUGAAUGUUUCUAAUUUGAAGCUUUUUUCUUCUUUUUUUCAGUAAGCGUUGGGAACUUCCUGCUUCACUAACCAUCACUAACAAUCUACAAGAACCAACGAAAGUGACCAUCCACAGGAGUAGGAAGUGUGAGCGUCAAGAUGAAUCAGCCAGGUCCAUAUGGGUGAGAAGAGCCGCAGUAAUAGAAGUGUUCAGGAUUGUCGUGGAUCUGGAGUCUAUUCCUUGAAUAUUGGCUGUGAGGUGGGAAUGCAACCUGGAUGGGAUGCCAGUCCAUUGCUAGGAGCGAGCCAGAGGCGACUGUGGCGAGGAAAAACUCCCUGAGACGAUAUGAGGAAGAAACCUUGAGAGGAACCAGACUCAAAAACGAAGUCAUCCUCAUCUGGGUGAGACUGGAUAGUGCGAUUAUAAAUAAAUAAAUCCCUUCUAUAACUGUGUGAAAACUGAAAAAGAAUGAAAACUUUCAUUUUGUUGGAGUUAUCAACUGUUCGCUGAUGGAGACUUG
ensembl:lncRNA